AUUCGAUCUCACUCUAGCAUCAGCUCAAUUAUUUUUUUAGAGAAGUUCCACCAGGUCCCGACCCUCUCAUCCUCCAUGGCGUUCUCCCCGUCGUGUUCAUUCAACAUCUUUCCAUCUUCUUAUUCCAUACCUGCUUCUCCUCCUCUUUCCAAUCUCAUUUUCCAACGCAAUAGACCGUCUUCAGCCGGCCUCAGAACUCUCAAACUCGAAAGGUUUUGUUCCUCCUCUGUCGAAAUUGAAACUAAGGGACCCCAUACAGAAGUUGCUCGCAAGACCAAAAAGAAGAGAAAGCUCAAACCAAGUUUCUACGACCAAAUUCGUGAUCGAUGGUCUCUCAAGCUUGGCUCUCCAAGAGAAAGACUGCCAUGGCAAGAGCAAGAAUCACAAGGGCAAGAAGAGACAGGAAAUGAUCAAUCUUCUUCUGCUCCUAAUUCCUCAGAGGGAGAUGGCGGGAACCCGUCAUUCGAUGACUUGGCGAGUUUUGCUCUAGGAAAUCGCUCAAUUUCGGCUCCUUGGAGUCACGGCGACAAACCCAGAAAACCCCAUUUCGACUCUACAACCGAAAUUGUCCAAAAUAGUUUAAACAACGGCGGAAAAUUUGCUGAAGUUCAUUACUUUUCUGAAAAGAGUACCAUUCCUAAGAUUAGUGAAGAUAGUGUAGUUAAUCAUAGUGGAAGCUUGAAAGAAGAACAAAGAAGUGAUUAUAUUCGGGAUGACAGUGUUAAGAUUGGACCCCCCCUAACUGGGUUUUCUGGAGAGCAGUCAACUGGUAAUGGUGAUUCGGUUAGAUUACCUUGGGAAAAGGAGAAAUUUUUGGAGUCUGUGGAUCGAGGUAGGUGGAGGAGGAGCACCACGGAGCUGGCGGCGAAGACAGUUCCUGAAACUGAGUUGCGGAGGCUUAGAAAUGUUGCUUUGAGAAUGAAGGAAAGGAUAAAAGUUGGAGCUGCAGGCAUUACACAGGAUUUGGUGGACUCCAUUAUUGAAAAGUGGAAGGAAGAUGAAGUGGUGAAAUUAAAAUUUGAAGGGCCACCUGCCCUUAACAUGAAGAGGACCCAUGAAGCCUUAGAGAGUAAAACUAGAGGCUUGGUUAUCUGGAGGUCUGGCAGUUCAGUUGUGCUGUACAGGGGAAUGUCGUACAAAUUUCCUUGUGUGGAAUCAUAUAUAAAAGAUAAUCAAGCUAAUCCAGAUAUUGCAUCUCAUUCAAAAGAGUCAAAGAUUGAUUUUAGUGGGAAUAUUUGCGUAACUGAUGCAAUUCAGACUAAGGAGUCAUCUAGUACUGGGACUAUGACAUAUGAUAAGGAUCUGUCCAGAGAACUCAUGGAUAUGACUGAUCUCAACAAUUUGUUGGAUGAGUUGGGUCCGCGAUUCAGAGAUUGGUCAGGCUGUGAACCAAAGCCUGUUGAUGCAGACUUACUUCCUUGUGUGGUUCCUGGCUACAAACCUCCGUUUAGACUUCUGCCUUAUGGGAUAAGACAUUGCCUGAAAAAUAAGGAGAUGACAUCUUUCCGUAGGCUUGCAAGAUCAAUGCCCCCUCAUUUUGCAUUGGGAAGAAACAGACAACUACAAGGCCUUGCUAGGGCUAUGGUGAAGUUGUGGGAAAGAAGUGAAAUUGCUAAGAUAGCCAUCAAACGUGGUGUGCAAAAUACCUGUAAUGAGAGAAUGGCAGAAGAACUCAAGAGAUUAACAGGGGGGACACUUCUCUCUAGAAACAAGGAUUAUAUCGUUUUUUACAGGGGUAAUGACUUCUUGUCACCUGUUGUGACGGAAGCACUAGUAGAAAGGAAGAAAUUAGCAGAGUUGCGACAGGAUGAGGAAGAACAAGCACGUCAGAGGGCUUUGGCUUUAAUUAUUUCAAAUGCCAAAGCUAUUAAAGGUCCAUUGGUUGCUGGUACCCUUGCUGAAACUGUUGCAGCAAACUCUCGUUGGGCAAAGCAACCAAGCAGUGAAGAUAUGCAGAAAAUGAUGAAAGAUGCAGCUUUAUCUAGACAUGCUUCCCUAGUCAGAUACCUUGAGAAGAAGCUAGCUCAAGCACAAGAGAAGGUCAAAAAGGCGGAGAAGACUUUAAGAAAAGUGCAAGAGUUUCUGAAGCCAACAGAGCUCCCAACUGAUUUAGAGACCCUAACUGAUGAGGAAAGAUAUUUGUUUCGUAAAAUGGGUCUUAGCAUGAAACCCUUUUUGCUUUUAGGGAGGCGAGGUGUUUUUGAUGGUACUGUGGAAAACAUGCAUUUACAUUGGAAAUAUAGGGAACUAGUCAAGAUAAUUGUCAAGAGGAAAAGUUUUGCACAAAUUAAGCAUAUUGCAAUUUCCCUUGAGGCGGAGAGUGGUGGAUUGCUAAUUUCAGUAGAUAAAACAACCAAAGGCUUUGCCAUAAUCAUCUAUCGUGGAAAGAAUUAUCAGCGCCCACAUGCAUUGAGGCCGCAGAAUCUGUUAACAAGGAAACAAGCAUUGAUGCGAUCAAUCGAGCUUCAGAGACGUGAGGCUCUGAACCAUCACAUCUCAAGACUGCGCCAAAGAAUUGGGAAUCUCAAAUCUGAACUAAAUCAAAUGGAGGCUGUUCAGGAGACAGGAGAUGAAUCUCUGUACUUAAGGCUGGAUGGUGCUUAUUCUUCUGAUGAUGACAUGGAGCACAACUCAAGGCCUCAAACAGCAAGGUUUCUGGCUCAUCGCAGAAGUUAAAGCAAAAUGGGUAAGGGGGAAAAGAGACAGCUGUAACGCCUACACUGCCACCAUGGGUUGUAUUAGUUGCAGUAAGGGUACCUCUUCAUCGGUUCUGUCAUAGAAGAGGAUUUCCCCUUCUUGGCUGAAGAUCUCUGCUCAGGAUGUUUUUAGAUAACAUCUGCAAGUUCACGAAGAAGGGUUCGACUCCUCAGAUUGGUGCCAUUUCUUCAUGAUUCUCACAUUAUUGCUGAGGUCAAAAGCAUAACAGGGAGCAAAAGCCUGCAUAUCCUAAAAGCUCAAGCGUUUGCCCCUGAAAUCCCCGAGGAUCUGUACCACCUCAUCAAGAAGACUGUUGCCUUCUGGAAGCAUCUUGAGAGGAACAGGAAAGAUAAGGAUUCCAAGGAUUUCCUGAAGAAAAUGAAAGCACAUAAAGAUGAAAAUUUGAAAUGCUGAUCUCCUUUGGCAAUCUUAGGGGCUUGCUUGUUGCAAUGGUAAAACCUUAAAUUAUUAGGCUGACAAGUGUGACUGCGAGCACGGGUUUGCAUCUUGUGAGCUGCCACUUUGAGUGAUGGCCCUUUCUACUUACUGGUUCUGGUGUCGGGUGUUUUUAGUUCUCCCAGACUUGCAACAUCCUUAUUUUUAUGCAACCAUUGCAUUUUUCUUUUUUCUAUUUUCCACCCACAUAUUACAUUAUAUAUUCUCCUUCAAACUUGCUCUUUCUUUCCUUAGGUGGUGAGCCCAGCCAUGACAAAAGUGCAGGAAAAGAAAAGGUAAGCAAUUUUCAUAUUCAUUGCAUUGCAAAUUAUUGAAUGGUAAGAAAAGUUUGUCUUCUUGACUAGUUCUAAAUAGAAAGCAUUUUGAGUAGAGGAAAAAAUUAAUUCUUACAUUCUUUAGAUCCUCAUGUAAAUGGUUGACCUUCUGCAAAAUGCGGCAUUCAAAUGAAUAUACUGAUUCCAUCUCUGAGCUUUCUUCACCACUUUCCACACGAUGCACCCUAGAAACAACAACAAUAGCAGUAGCAACAACCACAACAACAAUUUGAAUGCUUUGUACCGUCUGGCAUAGGAAUCCUGAGGAAUGAGAAUGGCAAUAUUAUAUCCUUAUUCUCAGGUCCGGUGGGAAUAGGGGAUUCCACAAGAGCUGAGUUGUUGGCUGUAGUACAAGGAAUUCAGAUUGCGAAUCAACUAGGAGUGGAGAACCUACUAAUUAAAGGGGAUUCUAAGGUGAUUGUGGGCUGGUUGUGAAAUCCAGACUCAGUUGCUUGGAGUUAUAGGGAUCACAUAAAAAAAAGUUAAAUGUUUAACAAAGGCACAUCUUUUGUAGAUACCAGUGGUUGGGUAGGGAGGCAAAUACUUUGGCUGAUUAUCUUGCAAAACAAGGGUCUACUCGGGAUUGGUUAUUGUGGGCAGCUUUGUAAUCUUUUUUCUCUGAACACUUGUAAUGUUUAGGGGAGGCUGCAUCUCGUGCCUCCCCAAGGGAUGCUUGUAAAGUUUUAUUCUGAUUGAUUAAUGAACUCAAUUUCAACUAUCAAAAAAAAAAAAAAAAA